rnacentral:tRNA from 1 species
UGCAUAAAACUGGGAUCGAACUAGGGACCUUUACCUUUAGAUAUUCAGUCUAACGCUCUCUUCCAAACUGAUCUAUUUGGGGUUAC